rnacentral:rRNA from 1 species
UACGUAGGGGGCAAGCGUUGUCCGGAUUUAUUGGGCGUAAAGAGCGUGUAGGCGGCCAGGUAGGUGGGUUGUGAAAACUGGAGGCUCAACCUUCAGACGUUGACCCAAACCCCCUGGCUAGAGUCCGGAAGAGGAGAGUGGAAUUCCUGGUGUAGCGGUGAAAUGCGCAGAUAUCAGGAGGAACACCAAUUGCGAAGGCAGCUCGCUGGGACGUUACUGACGCUGAGACGCGAAAGCGUGGGGAGCGAACAGG